CUCUCACGGGAGUGCCGAGCUGAAGUCCAAAGGAUCCUACACCAGCGUGCCAUGGAUGUCAAGCUGGAUCCUGCCCUCCAGGAUAAGUGCCUGAUUGAUCUGGGAAAAUGGUGCAGUGAGAAAACAGAGACUGGACAGGAGCUGGAGUGCCUCCAGGACCAUCUGGAUGACUUGGUGGUGGAGUGUAGAGAUAUAGUUGGCAACCUCACUGAGUUAGAAUCAGAGGUAAGUGGUAUGCAGCUUACGGGAGGAGAGUGGCUGCCAGCAUCCUGGCCUUUUGUGUUUGAUUCUACUGUUUCUAGACUCCUGAGAGUGCAUAUUCUCUGUCAAUCAAAAGAAACCUGAUCAAAUUUUCCAUAUUUGCUUUAUAAAGAAGUAUAUUGUGUUGCUUUGUGAGCCCCUUCCCUCAUUUCUCUAGAACAACACUCUAUACAGCCCUUUGGUUUUCUUCAUAAAUUAGAUUUAUCAUAGUCAUUAGACUUGCCUCUGUUUCCCCCUUAAGAUAGCAGCUGUACGGCCAGGUGCGGUGGCUCAUGCCUUGAAUCCCAGCACUUUGAGAGGCCGAGGCGGGCAGAUCACGAGGUCAGGAGUUCGA
rnacentral:sRNA from 1 species